rnacentral:lncRNA from 1 species
UUCUUGGAGUUGCCUCAGGAUUUCAGGUUUUACCUCCCAUUCUUCCUCAUCAUCACUCAUUAAGUCAUAGAUAGGAACCUUACCUUUCAUCUGUGAAUGCCGGCGCAUGGUUGCAUCUGGCGAUGAAGUGGACGGCGGCGGUGUCGGCAUUGGAGAGGCUGCGACCGGCGAGGAGGAACGCGCGGAAGGGGUUGUGACAGGUGAGGAGGAACGCGCGGAAGGGGCUGUGACCGGCGAGUCCGCUGGUAUGGUCUGCGUGCGAGGCAUGGUCGCCGCGUCCGAGGGGAUCUUCGUCGUGGUCUGGCGGCGGCGCGAUGAGCGGCGGCUCCCGAUCGAAACGCCGGCUGCGUGGCUCUUGGCGGCACGGGAAGAAGCGGCGCGGGAAGAAGCGGCGCGGGCCAUCUGCAGAAAAGAGAAGAAAAAGAAAAGAAAAAGAUAGAAGAUGAAGAUGACAGAGAUAGAAAAUUUUUUUAUAUUUUUUAUAUUUUAUU